AUUGAACGCUGGCGGCAGGCCUAACACAUGCAAGUCGAACGGUAACAGGAAGCAGCUUGCUGUUUUGCUGACGAGUGGCGGACGGGUGAGUAAUGUCUGGGAAACUGCCUGAUGGAAGGGGAUAACUACUGGAAACGGUAGCUAAUACCGCAUAAUGUCGCAAGACCAAAGAGGGGGACCUUCGGGCCUCUUGCCAUCGGAUGUGCCCAGAUGGGAUUAGCUAGUAGGUGGGGUAACGGCUCACCUAGGCGACGAUCCCUAGCUGGUCUGAGAGGAUGACCAGCCACACUGGAACUGAGACGCGGUCCAGACUCCCACGGGAGGCAGCAGUGGGGAAUAUUGCACAAUGGGCGCAAGCCUGAUGCAGCCAUGCCGCGUGUAUGAAGAAGGCCUUCGGGUUGUAAAGUACUUUCAGCGGGGAGGAAGGGAGUAAAGUUAAUACCUUUGCUCAUUGACGUUACCCGCAGAAGAAGCACCGGCUAACUCCGUGCCAGCCGCCGCGGUAA
rnacentral:rRNA from 1 species